GGCUAGCCUAGGUACAGUGAUGUUUACAGCUAAUUGAUCACAACCAGUUACAGAUUUCUUAGUUCCUUUUCUACUUGCAUUGCUUCACUUGACUAGUCUUAG
ensembl:misc_RNA Y_RNA Y RNA